CCCCUUGGGGAGUAGCCUGCUUCCGUUAUGGAAGUUUUCGCAUCAACAUACUUGACGCCUUUGUCCUUCCGCGCGUCAUGGUGCGAAAGCCAUCCGGUUGGCAAGACCAUGGGCAUGUGAGCGUGACGAUCGGGCCACGCGCACAUGCCUUUGCUCGU
rnacentral:ncRNA from 2 species